rnacentral:sRNA from 19 species
CUCAUUUGUGUAAAUAACACACACGGAUCGACACAUACACCGGGGUGCUCUCAUGUGGUUCGCUCUUCUAUGAAUAGCUUCGCAGUCAAAGAGUCGGUGUUAUGGGAUCUGUGGAGGCAUAAC